rnacentral:rRNA from 1 species
UUGGAGGGCAAGUCUGGUGCCAGCAGCCGCGGUAAUUCCAGCUCCAAUAGCGUAUAUUAAAGUUGUUGCAGUUAAAAAGCUCGUAGUUGAAUUUCGGGGUUAGUAGGUUGGUCAUGCCUCUGGUAUGUACUGGUCUCACUGAUUCCUCCUUCCUGAUGAACCUUAAUGCCAUUUAUUUGGUGUUUUGGGGAAUUUGGACUGUUACUUUGAAAAAAUUAGAGUGUUUAAAGCAAGCUAACGCUUGAAUACAUUAGCAUGGAAUAAUGAAAUAGGACGUUCGAUCCUAUUUUGUUGGUUUCUAGGAUUGACGUAAUGAUUAAUAGGGAUAGUUGGGGGCAUUAGUAUUCAAUUGUCAGAGGUGAAAUUCUUGGAUUUAUUGAAGACUAACUGCUGCUAAAGCAUUUGCCAAGGAUGUUUCCAUUAAUCAAGAACGAAAGUUAGGGGAUCGAAGACGAUCAGAUACCGUCGUAGUCUUAACCAUAAACUAUGCCGACUAGGGAUCGGAAGAUGUUAAUUUUUUAAUGACUCAUUCGGCGCCUUACGGGAAAC